AACGCUGGCGGCGCGCUUAACACAUGCAAGUCGAGCGAGAACCGGGGCUUCGGCCCCGGGGACAGCGGCGAACGGGUGAGUAACACGUGGGUAAUCUGCCCUCGGUUCCGGGAUAGCCCGGGGAAACCCGGAUUAAUACCGGAUAGCCUCUCUGGCCUUUGGGCCGGCGAGAAAAGGUAGCUUCGGCCUCCGACCGAGGAUGAGCCCGCGGCGGAUUAGCUUGUUGGUGGGGUAACGGCUCACCAAGGCGACGAUCCGUAGCUGGUCUGAGAGGACGAUCAGCCACACUGGGACUGAGACACGGCCCAGACUCCUGCGGGAGGCAGCAGUGGGGAAUCUUGCGCAAUGGGCGAAAGCCUGACGCAGCGACGCCGCGUGAGGGAAGAAGGCCUUCGGGUUGUAAACCUCUUUCAGGUGGGACGAAGCCACUCGGGUGAAUAGCCCAGAGGGUGACGGUACCUCCAGAAGAAGCCCCGGCUAACUACGUGCCAGCAGCCGCGGUAA
rnacentral:rRNA from 1 species